rnacentral:rRNA from 1 species
GACGAACGCUGGCGGCGGGCUUAACACAUGCAAGUCGAACGGAAAGGCCCUGCUUUCGUGGGGUGCUAGAGUGGCGAACGGGUGUGUAACCCGUGAGUAACCUGCCCUUGACUUUGGGAUAACUUCAGGAAAGUGGGGCUACUACAGGAUAGGAGCUCCUGCUGCUUGGUGGGGGUCGGAAAGUUUAGGCGGAGGGGGGUGGACGCGCGGCUUAUCAGCUUGUUGGUGGGGUAGUGGCUUACCCAGGGAUCGGCAGGUAGCCGGCCUGGGAGGUUGACCGGCGACAUGGGGACUGAGAGACGGACCAGACUCCUACGGGGGGCAGCAGUCGGGAAUAUGACACAACGGGCGGGAGCGUGAGACAGCAGUGUCGCGUUCGUGAUGACGGCCUACGGGUUGUAAACCGCAUUCGCCUGUGACGAAGCUUGUGUGACGGUAAUGGGUAAAGAAGCACCGGCUAACUACGUG